GUUGUUCCAUUAGUGCCCCUGGACCUUCUCAUCCUCUCAGUUAUCCACCGACGGCUGCUCCUUUAUAGCACUCACUUGCGAAAAUACGACGAUUAUGAUUUUAUACGACACUGACCGAUUUCAUUCAUUUCCCGAUCCAAACUUUGUCACGUCAUGACAAAGAAAACACUUGCGAAAAGUACGAAAUCAUACGAGAGAAAGAAGCUACGAUCCAUUUGACACUUGUAAAUUAAGUAGAAUAACAGUGGAGAAAUUUUUAAUUGCAAUUAAUUUUGAGUGCCAUCGGGUUGCGGUUAUGCUAAAUUUAAAGUAUUUUCAAAAACUAUUGCGCUUUCCAGAUAUAAAAAAUAAGAUUUAUUUGCGUUUUAAAGCGUUCAUCUCACAUAUUAACAAAUGAAUAAAAUAUAUAAGUACAAUUAUAGAUAUUUGCGCGGAAAAAAAUAACUGAAUCAGUAAUCACGAAAGCUAAUUAAUUGUAUGAACAGUAAAUCAGCAAUAAUUUGUAGUAAAUAAUCUUAUAAUAUUUGUCGCGAUCACUAUUUGAAAUAAUAAUAUGGAGCGAUUUCCGCUGUCAUCUACUUUUUCCAAGUGCCAUUGUAUGAAUGGUAGCAAGAUGAUAGCACGUAAAUAACAGCGACCAUAUUAUAGGUUAUAAAAAAUAAAAACAACUCUCGUGGUAUGCGUAAAUAUUCCGACGCUAGCUCACGAUGUCGGGGGGAGGUAGUUUGUUUUUUGUGUUCUAAGACGCGGCGAAUGUAGCGUACGUACGCUGUUGUCUACGCGUUAUCACCUCACUGCUAUUUAUACGAUGAUAUUGGAGCAAAAUAGAUGGAGAGGAAACUGUUCGUAUUUAACAAUUCUUCGAUGAAAUUUAUGGAGUAAUUCUCACAACAGACGAAAUUUGUGUGGAGACUGAAGCAACCAGCAAUAUUUUAGCUGGUAAAGACAUGCGUGAAAACAAUUGAGAAUAUAAUUGGUUGGAGUACAACGACUGG